ACUAAAGUUGAAAAAUUAGCGGAUGACUUGUGGCUAGGGGUGAAAGGCCAAUCAAACCUGGAGAUAGCUGGUUCUCCCCGAAAGCUAUUUAGGUAGCGCCUCGUGUCUCACCAUUGGGGGUAGAGCACUGUUUCGGCUAGGGGGUCAUCCCGACUUACCAAACCGAUGCAAACUCCGAAUACCUAUGAGUAUGAGCACGGGAGACAGACUGCGGGUGCUAACGUCCGUAGUCGAGAGGGAAACAACCCAGACUGUCAGCUAAGGUCCCUAAUUAUGAUUAAGUGGGAAACAAUGUGGGAAGGCACAAACAGCUAGGAGGUUGGCUUAGAAGCAGCCACCCUUUAAAGAAAGCGUAAUAGCUCACUAGUCGAGUCGGCCUGCGUGGAAGAUAUAACGGGGCUAAAUCAUAAACCGAAGCUACAGAUCUUGUUUCAAGAUGGUAGAAGAGCGUUCUGUAAGCCGCUGAAGGUAAGCUGUGAGGCGAACUGGAGGUAUCAGAAGUGCGAAUGUUGACAUGAGUAACGAUCAAAGAGGUGAAAAACCUCUUCGCCGAAAAACCAAGGGUUCCUGUCCAACGCUAAUCGAGGCAGGUUGAGUCGGCUCCUAAGACGAGGGCGAAAGCCGUAGUCGAUGGGAAACAGGUUAAUAUUCCUGUACUUUUUACAAUUGCGAUGGGGUGACGGAGAAGGUUAAGUCAGCACGGCGAUGGUUGUCCGUGUUCAAGAUUGUAGGCCGAUGUUUUAGGUAAAUCCGGAACAUUAAAGCUGAGGAUUGAUAACGACCACUUUAUAAGUGGGAAGUGGCUGAUACCAUGCUUCCAGGAAAAACCUCUAAGCUUCAGAUUGUAAGAAACCGUACCCUAAACCGACACAGGUGGUUAGGUCGAGUAGACCAAGGUGUUUGAGAGAACUAUGGUGAAGGAACUAGGCAAAAUAGCACCGUAACUUCGGGAGAAGGUGCGCCGCGUUUGGUGACAGGACUUGCUCUUAGAGCUGAACGUGGUCGAAGAUACCAGGUGGCUGCGACUGUUUAUUAAAAACAUAGCACUCUGCAAACUCGUAAGAGGACGUAUAGGGUGUGACGCCUGCCCGGUGCCGGAAGGUUAAUUGAUGGGGUUAGCUUUUGCGAAGCUCUUGAUAGAAGCCCCGGUAAACGGCGGCCGUAACUAUAACGGUCCUAAGGUAGCGAAAUUCCUUGUCGGGUAAGUUCCGACCUGCACGAAUGGCGUAACGAUGGCCACACUGUCUCCACCAUAGACUCAGUGAAAUUGAAAUCGCUGUUAAGAUGCAGU
rnacentral:rRNA from 1 species